rnacentral:lncRNA from 1 species
UGAGUUUCUCAUAUGCCUUUUCUUUCCCUGGAGGUGCAAUUUUUCUAUUUGAUUCUAGGUUUUCAUCUAUCCUUUUGUUCUUGUUUAGCUUCAAACCUGGUCUUCUACUCAUUUGAUCUUUAGCUUCAGUUCUUAAAUGAUUCUCUAGAAUCCCCCAAACCUUAGAUUUGGUUUACAGGAAAAAUGAGAGAGAAAGUACUCCCUUGUCUCUGACAUUUCCCAGACUGCUUUUCAGAUGCAGUGUCCGAUGAAUUAGUUAUGUAGCUGCCACAAGUUUAUUAAUUUUCAAGUUUUGACAAUGGAUAACCGAAUUAAUUGUAUUUGGGUGAACUUUUAUUUGGAUGGUUGUACGUCGUAUUAAAUAUUAAUUGUAUUUCAGUUAUUUGGAUGACGUGUUGGUGUUGGUUUUGUUUGAACAUAUUAUGGACUAUGGUAAUAAAUUAAACUUUGUUCAAACCGACCAACCCAAC